GCUCGUCGUUGAUGAUGCAUAACCUACAUUGUUUGAGUUUAACUACCAUGAGAAAACUCUCAUGCACUACCAUCUGAGACAGC
ensembl:snoRNA SNORD33 Small nucleolar RNA Z195/SNORD33/SNORD32 family